GGACAUGGAUUUUCUUUGCUGCACAACAUGUUUUUUCCAGAACUGCCAUUCAUGGACGUACAGGAGGUUUUUUUUCAUUUCUGAUAUUCCACACAGCAUUUCUACAGAAAAAGAAACUCAUUUCAUGGCCAAAGAAGAUAGCAAUGAACUCAUAACUAUUGGAUUAAUUGAUUUUGCCACAUUCCCUCACCACCCUGAAGCAUUGGCUUGAUAUAAAGAUGGAACAGCAUACUGAAGACUCAGCAAUGCUAUCAGUUGGAAGACACCACCAUGAAGGAGAUGAGGUUCCAUUUUACAGGAUACAGUGUAUGAUUUGUAUCAGAGGCACUUAAUGUUGCCAUUUCUCCCAUAGCUAGAAUACACGGAGCUGGGAAUCAAGGAAUUGAAGAUGGAGUGAUUCCUCUCAGUAUCACUUCUAACCUGCCGUUCACAGAAUUUUUUAUUCCUGUUCUUGUAACUUUGAGCACUGCUGAUUUGGAAAUUUUGGUUCCUAAGCAAGAUAUUCUUCCACCAGAGGAACAACAAUGGUUCCACUGAACUGGAAAGCGAGACUGCCACCUCACUAUUUUAGGCUCCUGGCACCACUGAAUCAACAGACAAAAAAAGAGGUUACUCUACUGGCUGGGGUGAUUGAUCCCAAUUUGUAUGAUGAACUCAGGUUACAAAGGAGGUAGGAAGGACUAUAUCAGGGGAUUGGGAAAUUCUUCGGGACAACUCUUAGUCCUUCCAUGUCCAAUUAUGGAAGUUCAUGGAAAACUACUACAUCAACAACAAAGGCAAACUCACUAAGGAUUCCAAUCCUUCAGGAAUGAAUUUGUGUCCCAAAACCAGGUAAAGAACCUUGACCAGCUGAGCUGAAAGGAAGGAAAUAUGGGAUGGGCAUUGGAAGAAGGAAGUUACAUAUAUAUCUACUGUGGCCUUCUGACUGGUUACAAAAUUAAAAAUAGUAGCAGAUAUGUGUAUUUUCUCCCACGCUCUGUUAAACUAUUGAAGUCAAGAAGCAAAAUUGCUUUGGGAGAUUCUCCAUUCCACCACCCACAGUGACACACCUUGAGCAAUGGAAGAGUCACAGCUGUUGCAGAUGGAGUGUUCCAUAAGAGCAGCAGUGGUAACGUCUAAUGGAGAUGGCAGUGCCUGGUGAGAGACACAGAGCAAGAAUGAUGCUCACCGACAGACUUGUUUGUGGGCAAGUGGGAGACACCUCUGGGGAUUCCUAAAAAUACUUAGGGGAAGAUCAUUUGCCAGAAGGUGAGGAGAAGACUCC
rnacentral:lncRNA from 1 species